AGCUGAAGUCAGAGUUGGGCAGAGUGGGUGUGGCUUAGGCACUGAGUGCCCACCGAAGUAUUUCCAUGGUUACAGAAUGGAAUGGGAGCCCCUCUUGGGGAAGGAUUUAUCAAGUCUGUAGGGACUCACGGAAAAGACUUCGAAUAAACAUAAUCUUGAUGGCAGAACAAAAGUCCAACCAAGCCCAUUAGAAUCCACACCAUGGAUUGUGAGGCUCUUCUGCCUUCUGUGGGGAAGCUGUGCAUGUUAUUCUCAAGUUAUGGUAAAGAAACAGACCCCAAGAGCGUUUCCCUCCUUGAUUAUCUGGAAUCUAAUCUUGAUAAGCAAAGAAUGUAAUUAAAAUGGAUUACAGACUAUUAAAUACCAACAAGAACAAAAUGAUUGCAGUGUGUGCAAGCCAGUAAUUAAAGCUUUAAAAGAGGAAAAAGUCACCAUCGCUUCAAAUGUUUAUUUGUCAAGCAGAAAAUCCAGGCCCUCAGCCAUACUUUUAUUCAGUGUAGCACGGGACCAUAAAUAUUUUCUAAAGAAAAACCUGACCAUAUCUAGAGGACAACAGGAUUUAAUGAGGACUGAACCGAGUGCUACUUCAAAUUUAGCACCUUCUCCAAAGAGCCAUUCUGCUAGGACGCACCCAUCCCCUAAGCAAGCAGGGGAGCCAGUAUUGUGA
rnacentral:lncRNA from 1 species